CUACGUGCCAGCAGCCGCGGUAAUACGGAAGGUCCAGGCGUUAUCCGGAUUUAUUGGGUUUAAAGGGAGCGUAGGCGGACGAUUAAGUCAGCUGUGAAAGUUUGCGGCUCAACCGUAAAAUUGCAGUUGAAACUGGUUGUCUUGAGUGCACGCAGGGAUGUUGGAAUUCAUGGUGUAGCGGUGAAAUGCUUAGAUAUCAUGAAGAACUCCGAUCGCGAAGGCAUAUGUCUGGAGUGCAACUGACGCUGAGGCUCGAAAGUGCGGGUAUCGAACAGGAUUAGAUACCCUGGUAGUCCGCACAGUAAACGAUGAAUACUCGCAGUGUGCGAUAUACUGUAUGCUGCCAAGUGAAAACGUUAAGUAUUCCACCUGGGGAGUACGCCGGCAACGGUGAAACCCAAAGGAAUUGACGGGGGCCCGCACAAGCGGAGGAACAUGUGGUUUAAUUCGAUGAUACGCGAGGAACCUUACCCGGGCUUGAAC
rnacentral:rRNA from 1 species